rnacentral:tRNA from 1 species
GGGCCUGUAGCUCAGUGGUUAGAGCAGUGCGCUCAUAACGCAUUGGUCCCUGGUUCAAGUCCAGGCAGGCCCACCA